rnacentral:misc_RNA from 1 species
GAUGAAGAACGCAGCGAAAUGCGAUACUUGGUGUGAAUUGCAGAAUCCCGUGAACCAUCGAGUCUUUGAACGCAAGUUGCGCCCGAAGCCAUUAGGCCGAGGGCACGCCUGCCUGGGCGUCACACGUCGUUGCCCCCCCCAUCUACUCCUUCGGGAUUGCGGGGGGCGGAUGAUGGCCUCCCGUGCGCCUCGCCGCGCGGUUGGCAUAAAUGCCAAGUCCUCGGCGACGCACGCCACGACAAUCGGUGGUUGCGAAACCUCGGUUGCCCGUCGUGUGCGGUCGUCGCGCAUCGAGGGCUCGAAAAAAUUGCCGAGUUCCGGCUCGGCUUUCAACGCGACCCCACGUCAGGCGGGGUUACCCGCUGAAUUUAAGCAUAUCAAUAAGCGGAGGA